UCCUCACCAGAUCAGCCAGAUUUACAAGCAAGGGCCGACAGGGAUCCAUGUGGUCAUCAGCGAUGAGAUGGUACAGAACUUCCAGGAAGAAGCCUGCUUUAUUCUGGACACGAUGGAAGCAGAAACCAGUGACAGCUAUCAUGUCAUUCUCAAGUAGGGUGAGGCCCCGACCUUCGACGGCUGCUGCUGCCUUCCCCUCUUCACCUUCUGAAGGGGACAUGACUGGAGAUUAAAGGGCUUCAGGAACCUGGCACAUCUGAAUGUUGGGGGGAGGGGGGAGGCGUGUCCAGUGCAGGGCGAGCAGGUCCCAAGGAGGAAUCCCAGAGUCCUGUAUUGGCUCCUCUGAUCACUGGCUAUACAUGGAGCCAGCAGUUUCCUUACUUUCUGGCCCCUGUUGAUACCAGUAAGAAGCCCCGUCAUUAGGGUUUGUAGAGGGCAGAGUGGUAAUGGGAGUCAUGUGAUGUUUUCUAGGAAGAUGUUUAGUUUUGUGAUAUAGAGCUCUGACAUUUUACUGAUAUAAAAGUGAACAUCUGUCUUCAUAAAACCAAGCUCUCUCUCUUGCCUCAAGCCUGUUGGCAGCUCUGCUCUGCUCUGUUCACAACUGUGAGGAGGAGAAACAGAAUCUCUCCUUCCCUUUUUUGAGACAGGGUUUCAUGUUCUUGCCUCUACCUCCCAAGAGCUGGGAUCACAAGCUUUUGCCACCUGGUCUGUUUCUGUCUGCAGUGCUGGGCUUGAACUCGGAGCCUCACGUGCUAGGCAGGCACUUUCUCCAGCUGAGCUCCAGCAGGCCUUCCCUUUAGUGCUAAGACAGGCUCCAGAUUUCUAAUUUGGUUCACCUGCAAUACCACAGCUGAGUGUGAUUUUGGCUAAUGUGUAUUGGGGUAGACCGAAUGAUAAAUCCCACGGACGGAUAAUCUUCUUUUAUCCCCUUAAUAAACCCAAAACAUCUGGGGACACAGUGACUUGAGGGUGAGGAGACGCAGAUGAAGUGGAGGGGCUUCUGACAACACCAGAUGCCACCCUUUGCUGCCAGUGCUCACCACUGGGUCUUUCUGGGGCUCUGCUGGAAACUGACGGACUUCCCACUGAAGGAGGCAACCAUACCUUACCACUGUAGCGAUAAUGAAGCCCCAGACAGACAGACACCCAAUGUCACACUAACCUCAGCCCAGAGCUAGAGGUGAGAGAGACAAGCGUGUCUGACCCCAGGCUUCGUUGUUCGUGAAUGAUAUUCUCAAAACUGUUUAAGUAAAUGAGCUAUUCCGCCCUGCUCUCCCCUCCCCUGUCUUGUUUUGGCAUAGUGUGGUGUUUUUUUUUUUUUUUUUUUUUUUAAAAUGUAAGCUUUAUUAAAAAAAGAAAAAUACAUUCUUUUCCUAUUCAAACUCACACUGUGUUUAUGUUCUGCCUUUCAAAUGGCUGUGUGUCUGUGUGCAUGUACAGAAUUGUAAAGCACUUAGGCCCUCCUUUUUCACAUGAAGUUUGUUUUAGCUUGGUUUUCCAAGAAAACGUUUCUCUGUGGAGCCCCGGCUGUCCUGGAACUCACUCUGUAGACCAGGCUGGCCUCAAACUCAGAAAUCCACCUUCCAAGUGCUGGGAAUAUAGGUGUGUGCCACUAGCUUAGUCAGGCCACAUGUAAAGUUUUACCAGAAAUUCCCUUAAAUUUUGUUGAGAUGAACAAAGAUAAUGUUAAAGAUUCUGUAUUAAAUUUGAAUUUAUGUGUGUUUUUGAAGUAUUUAAUAAAGCUUAGAUUUUUUUAU
rnacentral:lncRNA from 1 species